rnacentral:lncRNA from 1 species
UCCAGGCUUGGACUCAUUGAUCUUACUCCUAGGAGCUGAGCCCCUUAACCAUGGAGUCUCCACUCUUUUUCCCUCAUCAAAGUUUUAUCCCAAUGGGUUUUCUUUGGUGAGGUUUUUAAUGAGAGAGGUCUUCAUGGUUUCCAAACUUGACUUUUUCCACAUGGUCAAACUUGAGGGGGAGUGUUGAGAUGAAGACCAAGAAGUGAAGAGAUGAAGCUUUGGGGUUGAAUGAAGUGAGACAGUAACUUGGGAGUUUUUACCACAGUAACUUUGGAGUUUCACCAUUUCUGGAUAAAGGUA